rnacentral:lncRNA from 1 species
CAGGCAUGGCACAGAAAAGGCCGGCCCUGCCCUGAAGCCAACAGAGGCAAAGGGCUCAAGAAGAUGGCAGAGACUUCUGCCCCGAUAGGCAGCGUUGCCUCAAGUCAUCAACUCCUGACCUUUUCCGCUUUCUGUGUCAUUUAAUGGAGCUGUGUAUUUUUUCCAACUCGAUUUCAUUGAAUUUCUGCAUUUGUAAAGGAAAGGGUGAUUAGCACUGUGAUGACGGAUACAGAGAUGGAUUCGGGGGUUGCACGCCUCACCCUGGAGGUGCUCGCAACGGGCUCCCCGGCAUCACCACCACGCAGCGCCUGUGCUGGGGGUGCCCACCCUGCAGAGCCCCACCAUCCCCCCGGUGUCUGCUCAGCCCUCGCCCUGCACCCACACGCCCCUGAAGCCUGGGCGGGCUGCCGCCUGUUGGAUUUGUUUCAAGGUGCAAAGGAGCUGCAGUUGGAGAAGCUCUGCCUCGGUGCCUCCUCUCUCCUGAACACCAGGUUUUCCAUAACUUGGCAGCAGCAUCUGACUUCCAAGGACGGCCCAAUCAGAGCCCUUUCUUGAGAAUUUGGGAACCUGUCAUGACCUUUCACCACCAGAAAAGACCACCCUGACUGAUGAAUCUGGGCAAGUUACCACUGUACGGAUUGUGAGGUCGGUGACCGAAACUGCCGUUGAUCACAUGAAUAUAUAAAUGAAGAAAUAAAUGACAGAACCCAUGAGAAGAUGCUUGCUCGUGGAUUUUAAAUUUCCUAUUGGCUAGUCUGGAAUCACUUGGGGGUAGAACAAGAUAAAGUUGGCUGUAUCACCUAUGCAAACAUGGUAACAACAGCACAUUGACAUUAGAAAGUAAAACACUCAGUAUUCUAUGCAACAAGUUGGCAGAUUACAACCCAUGGGCCAGCUGCGUGCUUUUGUAAAUAAAGUUUUAUUGGAAAGCGGCCAUGCCCCUUCAUCUAAUGUGUUAUAGUGGCGGAAUUAACUUGCUGUGACAGAGACUGUAAGUCCCCAAAAGCCUAAAGUAUUUACUGUCUGGCUGUAUACAGAAAAAGUUUGCCAACCCCUGAUCUAUGCUAAAUACCUAUUACUGUCAUUGUUUAACAGCUGGAAACGGAAGCCACCUUAGUUAUUUUAGGGAGAAAGGGAAUUUAAUAAAGGGAAUUGGCAGUUUAUAAAAGCAGUGGAAGGACUGUAGUUGAGGACAGCACCCAAGACCUCCAGAAAUAGCUCCUAGAACAACCCCACAGAACCAGGCAAGGCAGGGAGUGCCUCCCCUUAGGGGUGAGGGAAACAGUACAUACUACACUCUGGGACCAGGAAGCCACGCCUAUGGUCCCCAUAACUGCCUCUGGGCACCUGUGGAUUUAGAAACUGUGCACUGGCCUCAAAUGCAAAAACAAUUUCCAUCCCCUCUCUAAUGAUGUUGCCUGUAGGAACAUUACAGUGGGUAGCUAGUCGGGCAUGAGCAGGCAGGAGAGGGCUCCCCGCCACACAGACACACAUACACCAGGAGUGUUGGGGGCCAUCAGGUGGUGGUCAGGAGGUUGUUAACUGUCUCUCGAAAGUAAUAACUGAUCACAGCCAACACCAGGGAAAGGCAGGCUCCUAAUAGAUAGAAAACAGGUGAAACUCAUCAGCAGUUUCCCAAUAAGAUCCUGGGAGUGGGGGAAGAGACACCAGACCCCGGGAGUAGCCAACGAAUAAAACCCAAGUCAAACAGUCAA